GUUAAAAAGCUCGUAGUUGGAUUUCGGGAUGGGCCAGUCGGUCCGCCUAACGGUGUGUUUACUGGCUGGUCUGUUCUUCUUCGCAAAGACUGCGUGUGCACUUUACUGUGUGUGCGUAGGAUUUACGACGUUUACUUUGAAAAAAUUAGAGUGUUCAAAGCAGGCAUACCGCUUGAAUACAUGAGCAUGGAAUAAUGGAAUAGGACUUUGGUCUUAUUUUGUUGGUUUCUGAGACCGAAGUAAUGAUUAAGAGGGACAGUUGGGGGCAUUCGUAUUUCGUUGUCAGAGGUGAAAUUCUUGGAUUUACGAAAGACGAACAAUUGCGAAAGCAUUUGCCAAGAGUGUUUUCAUUAAUCAAGAGCGAAAGUUAGAGGAUCGAAGACGAUCGAUACCGUCCUAGUUCU
rnacentral:rRNA from 1 species